CCGCYGCCUUCGUCUCGGAUGCGAUCUCCUUGGAGUCGGGUUGCUUGGGAGUGCASCCCUAAUCWGGUGGUAAACYACACCUAAGGCUAAAUACCGCCGUGAGACCGAUAGCAAACAAGUACCGUGAGGGAAAGUUGCAAAGAACUUUGAAGAGAGAGUUCAAGAGUACGUGAAACUGCUCAGAGGUAAACGGGUGGGCCCUCGAAAUCCUGUGGCGAGAGGAUUCAGUCUGGCGGGGCGGACGUGCAUUCGGAAGACCGAGCAGGGCUUCCCGCUUACCGGGGCCGUCCGAUAGCGCGCCUUCCGCCUUUCCAGACGCAUUUGUCUCUCGUCCGAAGGACGCUGCAGCCGGUCUGGCAGUGCAAGCGCGACGGCCUGAAGGUCGGGAAACGGCAGGUGGCCGGCGGCUCGCCUCGUGCGGGCUGUCGGUUGUUAGCCAUCCCGUCAGUGGCCCGUCGCCAGACCGAGGUGUCGCGAGUCCCGUCAGGGACUCUCCGUCUCCACCCAGCAGUUGCGGGACAGGACGCGGCAAGGGAACCGUGCCACCGCCGUCGCACUCUUACGGAGUGGGCGGAGGUGUCCGGGACCCCGUUGGCUGCGACGGACCCGUUGGGGACCGGAGGCUGGCAGCGAGUAGGUCGGUCACCCACCCGACCCGUCUUGAAACACGGACCAAGGAGUCUAACAU
rnacentral:rRNA from 1 species